GAGCCCCUCCACAGGGACGGAGACAAAAGCCCAAGUUGUGGUUGUCCCAGCGCUCCCCUCGCCCACCCCACCCUGAUCCUCCCACCUGGCGGAUGCUUCCCCCUCUUCACGACUCUCCCUGCAGACUGGGCCUCCCGGACUUGCCAGGCAAGGAAGUUGUGGUGGGAGAGACCCAGAAACCCAUCCAUUUCUUUGAAAGAAGACUGAGAACAUGUGACCACACCAGUCCCAUGGGUUUACUUAAAUGUCGUUAAAACAAAUGGCUUGAAUGGAUUUCUCCCAGCCUCCCUCCUCCCUGAGCCACUCACUGGAAAGCAGCCGCUCAAAGGGCCCGGAGACUCAGAGCUGCCAGCUGGGCAGGGGGCACUGGGACCGAGGGUAGCUCUGAACGGGCGGAUGGAGAAGGCACACACCCAACCACAGGUGGCCCAGAGGCUACCCAGGGUUCAAGAGAGACUAAUGUCAGAUUCAGGAGCAUCGGGUGUCCUCUGCCCCUGUGGCCUGCUGCUUCCCACCACCCGGGGUCCCCUCCUUCCCAUUACCCUUGCCCGGAGGCCCUGCCCUGAGCAGCUGCCGUGGCACACGCUUGCUCUGGGCAGCUGGGACGGACAGGCGGAGUUUUCUCCCGGACUGCACAACCUGCUUAGAAACCUAAACACGGGGGUAGGAGUGGGAAGGUAUGUGAUUCCCAACAGGCUGGGUCUGGAAGGGCCUGGGGGGAAGCAGAGCUCAACCGUCCUUGACUCUUAGAGCCGAAACCCCUGAGCCCAGAGAAGCAUGCUGGCAGGCCCAAGGUCAGCACGGCGAUGCGGCUCUGUCCGGUCCUCGGCCGCAUUCCCAGCCUCUGUUCAACCACCAUUUCCCAGGAACAUCCUCUGUGCCUAGACUCUGGAACUUAGGCGCCCAGAAUACAUGUUCUCUAUAGAAAACAGAAGCCAAACAAACACAGAGAGAAAGAGACGAACAGAAGUCACCACAAUCCUCCUAGGAAAACUAUGAACUAUGAACAUCCGUCCACAGUCUUUUGUCUGUCCAAAUACAGGAUCGUUCUGAACCUGCUGCUUUUCCCCAUCGUGCGAGGAAGGCGGAUAUUUCUCCUUGUUAAAUACUGUCCCGGCCCCAUCACCCCUCAGCCUUGCACAUGGGGUGCGCGAGUUCAUUCGACAUACCCCUCCGGUGGCCAUCAGGCUGUUCCUCCUCUCAUUGUGACAAAAGGCCCCGCCGGGUCUGAGGCAGAGCAGCCCCAGCACCCCAGGUGGGGCCGUGCUGGAGCCCCGGGGUUCCUGCCCCGCCCCGUCCAGUGCUCCUUCUCCCCACCCCACCACAAAGCCUCGUGCACAAGACGGGGAGGGGUGGGGAGUGGGGGUCCUGCUCUUCUCCACAGCCCUCAGGCAGCGAGUGACCCCCCCCCCAAACCCGGUGACUCUCAACUGGAAUGGCAGUGAGGAGAUGGACAAAUGCAGAUUCCCAGGCCCCACCCAGAAAUCCUGAAUCCACUGGUCCGACAUCGGGCCUAGGAACCUAUAUCUGGAGCAAGCCCCACCUGGCCAAGACCAGGAGGCUCUGAGGCUGGGAUCACCCACCCUGCACCCAGAGAAGCCCUGUUUCUAGAGGGUGCUGCUGCUGGCCCACGGGCCACACUCAGGGGCACUGAACUAAAGCCACUGUGGGCACAAGCAGGUACAGGUGGCGGGCACUCACCCUGGGUGGAGAAUCACAGCUCCUAGUAAGUAAGCCCUCCUGGGGGUCAGACACCGCAUCCUGGCUGCCCAAGGCGUGCUCUGUGAGCCACACCACCAGGCACAGACCUGCGGCCCCAUCCAGCCUCCACGGGGAUCCGUGUGCCUAUCACAGUCCUUCACAAGCCUCGUCCCUUGUCAUCCUCCUGAUACCCGCCCCCCCAGAAGUAGGUCAUGGAUCCCUUUGGUUUUACAGGGGAAACACAGCUGAGCGGCUAAGUGACUUGGUUAAGGUCUCAAGUACAACCAGCGGGAGAUGCUACUGGAAGCAGGUGGCCCAGCCUCGGACCCCGAGCUCCCAACCCCGCAGCCCAACACUCCCUGUGGCUUCUUCGUGGAAUCCCCACAGCUACUCUGCCAGCCAGACUCGGUCCUGUGUGCCUUUUGAAAGGAAGGAGAGAAUAGCUGUGCUCAGCCCAACGAGGCCGGCCUCUUUCAACCUGCCAGUCGCUGCCAUUUCCAAUUACAACUUCAGAGGCCCCUGUAAUUUAUACAUCCCAGGAUGCACCGCUCCAGCUGCUUUAUGACGGGAGUUCGUUACACUAUUAAGGAACCUGCGCUUCCCAUGGCCCGGAGGGUCCCCAAACCUGACACGAGGUGGGAGAGCAAGAAGGAACACCCCAAGAGCUGGGGCCAGACGGAGAAGGGUCUGCAGUCUGCCAGCUGCAAACUUACAGCCCUUCAGCAGAACCCCCCCCCCCCCGCCAUUCUGGACCUCUCCCUCUGCUGUAAAAGAUGGGUGCUUCCCUCCUCGGGGGGUGGGGGUGGGCACUGCCCGAAGCGCAGAGCCGAGCACCGGGUGAGUGGCUGCCAUUCUCGUUCUUGGCGUGAUGUCAAUUACUGCACAGAAAGCAGAGAGCACUGGCCUGGCCAGGAGGGCUUUGCCCGUGUCACUGUUGUCACAUCUGGAAGAUGCGUGUUACAGGUCAGUCCCCAACCUGGGAAACUCCCAGAGGCCCGGUGGGGGCUCUUCUCUGCCUGUCCUCAGCUCCACGUGCAAGCCCAGCACACCGCACGUGUGUGGCAGACGUCCCUGAAAGAACCAUGUGGACCAAGGGGGCACGGCUCUUCACCGCCUGGCCCCCGUCCCGGAGAAGGAGGUGGAGGGACACCAAGUUCUUUUCCAAAGUAUGAAAUUGAUGCAACCUCCUGAGACGAAUUCCUGGACUUCCCAGGAGGAAAGAGACUCUGGCUGCGGCUCCAAGACCCCAGGCUGGACUCUGGCCUUCUCCUUCUGUGUGUCCUUGGCAUCGGGGAGGAAUGGUUGCGACUGGAACCUGAAGCCUCAGCUGGGGCUCUGGGGCAACUCCCCCCCCAGGGUGGGUUCCCCGUGGCCGCCAACCCCCUCCCCUCGGCAGCAGGGGCCUCCUCCUGCAGUCACUGGAGCGGCAGGCUCCCGGGACCGGAGGGGGACGCAACAGGACUCUGGAUUUGUCAAGGUUGCCGGUUUUCUUGGGAGGGGCCAAGUGGUGGCCCCCAGCCUCCGGGUGCACCAAGCG